GACAAGGGGAAUCUGACUGUUUAAUUAAAACAAAGCAUUGUGAUGGUCCCUGCGGAUGCUAACACAAUGUGAUUUAUACCCAAUGCUUUGCAUGUGAAAGUGAAGAAAUUCAAUCAAGAGCGAGUAAAUGAUGGGAGUAACUAUGACUUUCUUAAGGUAGUCAGAUGCCUCAUCAUCUAAUUAGUGACAUGCAUGAAUGUAUUAACAAGAUUCCC
rnacentral:ncRNA from 1 species